GCCAGCAGCCGCGGUAAUACGUGGUGGCAAGCGUUAUCCGGAAUUAUUGGGCGUAAAGCGCGCGUAGGCGGUUUUUUAAGUCUGAUGUGAAAGCCCACGRGUCAACCGUGGAGGGUCAUUGGAAACUGAAAAACUUGAGUGCAGAAGAGGAAAGUGGAAUUCCAUGUGUAGCGGUGAAAUGCGCAGAGAUAUGGAGGAACACCAGUGGCGAAGGCGACUUUCUGGUCUGUAACUGACGCUGAUGUGCGAAAGCGUGGGGAUCAAACAGGAUUAGAUACCCUGGUAGUCCACGCCGUAAACGAUGAGUGCUAAGUGUUAGGGGGUUUCCGCCCCUUAGUGCUGCAGUUAACGCAUUAAGCACUCCGCCUGGGGAGUACGGCCGCAAGGCUUAAACUCAAAGGAAUUGACGGGGACCCGCACAAGCGGUGGAGCAUGUGGUUUAAUUCGAAGCAACGCGAAGAACCUUACCAAAUCUUGACAUCCUUUGACCGCUCUAGAGAUAGAGUCUUCCCCUUCGGGGGACAAAGUGACAGGUGGUGCAUGGUUGUCGUCAGCUCGUGUCGUGAGAUGUUGGGUUAAGUCCCGCAACGAGCGCAACCCUUAAGCUUAGUUGCCAUCAUUCAGUUGGGCACUCUAAGUUGACUGCCGGUGACAAACCGGAGGAAGGUGGGGAUGACGUCAAAUCAUCAUGCCCCUUAUGAUUUGGGCUACACACGUGCUACAAUGGACAAUACAAAGGGCAGCGAAACCGCGAGGUCAAGCAAAUCCCAUAAAGUUGUUCUCAGUUCGGAUUGUAGUCUGCAACUCGACUACAUGAAGCUGGAAUCGCUAGUAAYCGUAGAUCAGCAUGCUACGGUAAAUACGUUCCCGGGUCUUGCACACACCCCCGUC
rnacentral:rRNA from 1 species